rnacentral:rRNA from 1 species
AUUGAACGCUGGCGGCAUGCUUUACACAUGCAAGUCGAACGGCAGCGCGGGCUUCGGCCUGGCGGCGAGUGGCGAACGGGUGUGUAAUGCAUCGGAACGUGCCCAGUAGUGGGGGAUAGCCCGGCGAAAGCCGGAUUAAUACCGCAUACGACCUGAGGGUGAAAGCGGGGGACCGAAAGGCCUCGCGCUAUUGGAGCGGCCGAUGUCGGAUUAGCUAGUUGGUGGGGUAAAGGCUUACCAAGGCGACGAUCCGUAGCUGGUCUGAGAGGACGACCAGCCACUCUGGGACUGAGACACGGCCCAGGCUCCUACGGGAGGCAGCAGUGGGGAAUUUUGGGCAAUGGGGGGAACCCUGAUCCAGCCAUGCCGCGUGCGGGAAGAAGGCCUUCGGGUUGUAAACCGCUUUUGUUCGGGAAGAAAUCCUCUGGGCUAAUACCCCGGGGGGAUGACGGUACCGGAAGAAUAAGCACCGGCUAACUACGUG